rnacentral:rRNA from 1 species
GAAAAGGUCCCGGAGCGAACAGAUAAGGAGCUUGCUCCUUUGAAGUUAGCGGCGGACGGUGUGAGUAACACGUGGGUAACCUACCUAUAAGACUGGGAUAACUUCGGGAAACCGGAGCUAAUACCGGAUAACAUUUAGAACCGCAUGGUUCUAAAGUGAAAGAUGGUUUUGCUAUCACUUAUAGAUGGACCCGCGCCGUAUUAGCUAGUUGGUAAGGUAACGGCUUACCAAGGCGAACGAUACGUAGCCGACCUGAGAGGGUGAUCGGCCACACUGGAACUGAGACACGGUCCAGACUCCUACGGGAGGCAGCAGUAGGGAAUCUUCCGCAAUGGGCGAAAGCCUGACGGAGCAACGCCGCGUGAGUGAUGAAGGGUUUCGGCUCGUAAAACUCUGUUAUUAGGGAAGAACAAAUGUGUAAGUAACUGUGCACAUCUUGACGGUACCUAAUCAGAAAGCCACGGCUAACUACGUGCCAGCAGCCGCGGUAAUACGUAGGUGGCAAGCGUUAUCCGGAAUUAUUGGGCGUAAAGCGCGCGUAGGCGGUUUCUUAAGUCUGAUGUGAAAGCCCACGGCUCAACCGUGGAGGGUCAUUGGAAAACUGGGAAACUUUACUGCACAAAAAAGAGAGGGGGAAUUCCCUGUGUAGCGGUGAAAAUGCGCAGAAAUAUGUGAAGGGACACCCCGUGGGCGAAAGGGACUUUCUGGGCCCUUAACUUACACUUAUAUGGGGAAAAGCUGGGGGAACAAACAGGGGCUCACACCCUGGGGUGGCCCCCCCCCUAAACCGUGAGAUGGGAAAUGUGAGGGGGGGUUCCCCCCCCUUCUGGGGGGGGGCUUAUAGGGUUUAAGCAGUCCGCCUGGGGAGUACGACCGCAAGGUUGAAACUCAAAGGAAUUGACGGGGACCCGCACAAGCGGUGGAGCAUGUGGUUUAAUUCGAAGCAACGCGAAGAACCUUACCAAAUCUUGACAUCCUUUGAAAACUCUAGAGAUAGAGCUUUCCCCUUCGGGGGACAAAGUGACAGGUGGUGCAUGGUUGUCGUCAGCUCGUGUCGUGAGAUGUUGGGUUAAGUCCCGCAACGAGCGCAACCCUUAAGCUUAGUUGCCAUCAUUAAGUUGGGCACUCUAGGUUGACUGCCGGUGACAAACCGGAGGAAGGUGGGGAUGACGUCAAAUCAUCAUGCCCCUUAUGAUUUGGGCUACACACGUGCUACAAUGGACAAUACAAAGGGCAGCUAAACCGCGAGGUCAUGCAAAUCCCAUAAAGUUGUUCUCAGUUCGGAUUGUAGUCUGCAACUCGACUACAUGAAGCGGAAUCGCUAGUAAUCGUAGAUCAGCAUGCUACGGUGAAUACGUUCCCGGGUUUUGUACACACCGCCCGUCACACCACGAGAGUUUGUAACUCCAGAAUCCGGUGGCGUAAUCUAUUUUUGGACACCAUGGCGCCUU